CUUUUUUUUUAAGUCUCAUUUAAUAUAUUGACUUCCAACCCCUUAAUUAUCUUAGGGCCAAGUGUUUCACCCUAACUCCAACUGAUACAUAUGUCAGUUCCUUCAAGUGAUGGUCUCUAGACUUUUCCUAAUGCAAGGCACAUUACGAAGGAGGAGUAACCCUGUAGCAUACUCAUCCCUGGCCCGGACCUUGGCAGCCCGACAGAAAGGAGGAAGGGCUGGGCUGAAGCGGUCUGAGUUCUGUGCCUCCCCAAAUACUGUUAGGGUUGGGGAGCUGAAAGAAACGUCAUUAAAUGGUAUCUUAAGAGCAAAUGUAUUACAACUGCUUUUUAAGUCUUCUGUAAUCUCUGAAGUUUGAAGUGUCAUCUGUCAGUAGUAGCAUUGUAACUAACUGUCUUGGACAAAGCUGUGUUGAUGCAAAGCAAGCAGUGUGCCCACUUGGUCAGUCUUGUCCUAUUCUUAGUUCCUAACUGAGUGCAGUAUACUGUUGGAGUACAUUUGUUCUAUUCAGGUGCUGUUUAAAAUUCUUUCUGAUUUAACAUUAAGUGAAAGUCUUAGCCUUAGAAACCACUAUCAGUAGUAUGAAGUGAAUUUUAUUUAGUAAAGCCUCAUUCCGUAGUUGAAUUGUCAUUUUUCUUUAGGAUACACAAUGAAAGAAUUCACAGUCUACAUUGAAAUAGGAUGAGUACAGCCUGCAGCUACACCAUGCAGACUAAGUGCGAAAGCAGCCCCGGUGAACUGUAGAGGACUGGCUAUUUUUGUAGAGACAGGGCCUUGCUUGUGUAUCUUUAACCUGUGCCUCAGCCUCCAGUGUUGUGGGAUUACAGGCAGAUGCCACCUGGCCCAGCUAGAAGAAGACACCAAAACGUUAUUAGCACAUGAGUUUGGGUAACAGUUACAGAGUGAAUGUUGCGUUCUGUAU
rnacentral:lncRNA from 1 species